CAAACCCUAAACCCCUCUAGUGUGCGUCGGCAGAAGUGAACCCCCCCCCCCUCUUCGAAGCAGUCGGCUAUAAGAUCAGAACUUGUGGCUUUGAUUGAACUAAUUGCGGCCAAGUAAUUAAGCAUACCGAGCAAACCGAGGCCUUUAGGUGCAUAUUGUUGGAACUUGC